rnacentral:lncRNA from 1 species
UCAGAGACCUCAGAUGAAUAACAAUAGUGGUCCCAAUGCUGUGGGGUUUCAGGGACAAGGACACCACUGACCCCCAAAUGAGGUCCCUCCUGGAGAGGCUGCAUAGCACAGGGGUAGGAGUGUGGAACUAAAGUCUGGUAGAUCUAGCUUCAACCCUCACCUCCAUUGGCAUGAAGCCCCGAUGUGACCUCAGGCAAGUAACUCAACCUCUUUGAACUUCAGUUUUCUCAUCAUUAAAAUGGAGAAGAAGCAGGUAGUACCUGUAUCUCCUGGUGGUGAUAAGAAUUAAAGGAAUAAGUGCAGGGAAACUGGUAUGUGGGUGGCACUCAAUGCAAGACAGUCAAAGGGAAAACUAACUGUUUGAAAUGCUGUACGGUGUCUUAUCAUUACUAGGGAAAUAUACAGAUUAUAAGUUUUGUAAUCCAUAGUAUUUCUCCUUUUGCUUUUUACUUUCCCUUCUUAUGGUCUUUCA